CUAAAAAGUGGGUGAAAAUCCAAAUAACAUGAUUGUAACUUGACUGCUAAUUGUAACUCUGCAACUUUGCAGGAUCAAACCCAAAAUGUAAUUAUAAUUUAAACCAAGAAAAAAAUUUGUCUACAGACAACUCUACAGAUUCACAUUUAUAGCCUACUGAACCAACUAACACCAAACUAAACUAGCAUCAACAAAGUAACUUUAAGCAAUAUUUUUCAGCUUGUAAUUCUCUAUUAACUGAAUUACCAAAAUAUUUGUAAUCAACUGAACUCAACUAUGCAGAAAAAUCAGCUUGCACUCACUACACAACUGGUGCAAAAAGAGCAAAUCUUCAAGGUUGUUUCAACAACCUUGGAUAACAGUCCAAAACACUCUUAUUUGAGUUCAAAAUUCUUCAAACAAGUUCUAAUAUCCACACCCAGUUUCAGAUUUACAAAAUGUUAUAGAAAAAUACAAAUAAUUCUUAGGAAACUUGCAUUACAUCAACAAAUUUCAUUUAAAUGCAAAAUUCUAGAACUCAAAUAAGCUGGCAGGUUCGCUAUUCAAUUGCUUCUCAAUACUCAAACUUAAGCAACAUCUUGAGCAUUAAAUUCAGCAGCAAUAGGCAUAGAAUUUUUCAGCCCAGAAUGACGAACUCAACUGUAGAAACAAAGCAUUAGAAAUUACAGCAAUAUUAAGUCAGAAUAACCAUAAAGUUUAUGUAAAAAAAAGCACUUUAUUCAACAAAGAGAACUUUUUAGAAGUAAAAACCAUAUUUUAAACUAUCACUGCUAUAACAACAACAACAACUACCCAGUAUAUUCCCACCAGGUAGGGUCUGGGGAGGGUAAUAUGUAGNNNNNNNNNNNNNNNNNNNNNNNNNNNNNNNNNNNNNNNNNNNNNNNNNNNNNNNNNNNNNNNNNNNNNNNNNNNNNNNNNNNNNNNNNNNNNNNNNNNNNNNNNNNNNNNNNNNNNNNNNNNNNNNNNNNAAAGCUGCAUUAAAACAAAAACAAAAACAAAAACAAAAACAAAGACAAAAUUAGAAACAAAAACAAGACAAAACAAAACAAUAGAGCAUUAGUAAAUCCCUCAGAAAUAACGUAAAUAAUUAUGUAAACAUAAGAAACAUACAUACAGUCGCAUGCAAUAAUAACAAACCGUAACUACCAUACUAACAACCAUAAGGGGACAUACGUUAAAACACUAAUCAUCUAUGGGUGACCAUGCUAUCCCACACCCAACCCCGGGUGAGGCGUACGAAGAACUCUAUGAGCCCUAGCCUACAACCCUGAUUCUAAACCUCCAGACUCCCCUAUCAAGGGUCAUGUCCUCGGAAACCUGCAUUCUAGUCAUGUCCUGCCUAAUCACNNNNNNNNNNNNNNNNNNNNNNNNNNNNNNNNCUCCUCCGUACAUGCCCGAACCACCUCAGCCUCGCUUCCCGCAUCUUCUCAUCCACCGGGGCCACCCCUACCUUCUGUCGAAUAACUUCAUUCUUAGUCUUAUCUAGCCUGGUGUGCCCAUAAAUCUCUGCUAUACUCGCACAUAAAUCUCAAUGGACAUAAAAUUUCGGCAGAGUAAGCUUAAUGUAUGCUCAACCGAAUCACAAUUCAAGCAUGCAAGUCCAACUGAUUCCCCUCUCUUAAACUCAACAAUAACAACAACUAUUAAAAACCAGUGGUAACAAGUUCAAACUAGGAGAAUUUCAGCUAUCGUUUACUCCAAAAACUUCAAAAAAGUGGCAAACUUCAACAAGACAAGAUUCAGAACUCCACAGUCUUAGCACAAAGAUAAUUGGUGUUCAAUGCAGGAUUAUUUUUCAAACAUCGGCCCACGAACAACUCAUAGGUUAAUUAAAAUCACAUAUAAUUGGCAUUUAAUGCAAGAUUUUCUUUCAAACAUUGGCCUACGAAAAAUUCAUAGAUUGAGUUAAAAUUACCAAACAAUACACCAACAAACAAAGACUGAUCUCAACAGAACUUUCACCAGCAUAACAGAAGUUUGACAAGAGUAUUCCAACUUCAACUCUAAGAAUUUAAAUAGUAGAGUCCAUUGACACAACUCAAUUCACACAAUUUCCAACAAGGAACUUCUGAAUUCUAAAACUAACCUAUGUGGCUGAAAGUAGCUAGAAGUGCAAAAUCUGGCUAUGACCCCGCAAAGCCAAGAAUCUAAGAUUUACAAGGAAAACCAAACCCUAUGUGGGUUGCCUACGUAUCACGCCUCAAAAGACAAGAAUCAGGUUUACGUAGUUUGGGAAAAUUGGAUACGAGCAAGAAACAGAAAAACAACUAAUUUUUAAAGAAAACAUUUGCUUUUGUUUCUUUUUGAAAACUGAUGAAAUAUGUAAAGUAUUUUUGGAUUUUCCUUUUUUUUAUUUUUAGGAAAUAAUAAAAAGUGCGAAAUAUUCUUUUUUUUGAAUUUUCCACAUAUCCUUUGUCUCUUUUUUUAUAAAAUAAAAAUAUAACAAAAACAUAACUAAAUCCUACUUGCUGUAUUUCCACACUUCACCCUCUCUUUUUUUUUCAUUGUUUUUUUUUUCAUUUUUUUCCUCAUUUUUUCAUUUACCUCAGCUAUCAUUGGUCCGCCAAAUGACCCUUUCACCCUUGAAAAAUAUACAACAUGUGGCAUAUAAAAUGCAUCAGGAUGGUCUUUUAAAUUGGGUACAUCUGUCCUAGACGGACUCAACCCCUGUGUUGAGUCCCCUAAGUCAAAUGCAUGAUGCAAAUAAGCGUUCCUACUAGGGACCCGGCAUGAGGCUGAGUUAUUCUAGGUUAAUAACCUUGGUAUAUAUUCUAGACAGUGUACAUGUGCGGAAAACUCGAGUCGAGGAGGGGGCUACGUAUCGGGAACCAAAAGGCCAUCUGGCUUUGUAACUUGUCCGGUCUCUUUCCUAUUUCAGGGUAUAACACUAACAGAAUAGGGAGUCUCAACCUAUAAGCACAUCCCCGGAGGUGAGAAGAGAAGGGUUUCGUAGCAAUUCAUAUGUACAGUUCAUAUAAUAUCAAAACGGUAAAAGCAUCAUUUUGCACAUUAAGUCAACAUGUAAAAUCAAAUAAAAAACAAAGCCAAAUACAACAAUUAUUCUAAGCUCAAAAUUCUUGAACCCCGAACCAGAGACUCUGGAACAGGUUUCCAGCAGAGUCGUCAGAGCCGUCACACCUAAUUUUUGGCUACUACGACCCGGCGGAGGGUGUAGAUAAGGGAGUUUUUCCAAUUAAAGGACAAUCGAAAUGGGAUUCAAUUUAUUAAGAGAGUUUCAGAGUCGCCACUUGGGAGAUUUAUGGUGCCACAAGUCACCGGUUAGAAUCCCGAAUCGAGGAAAGAAUGACUCUGUUUAACAGUCUACGAACCAGAAAUCCGAGUAAGGAAUUCUGUUAACCCGGAAGAAGGUGUUAGGCAUUCCCAGAUUCCGUGGUUAUAGCACAGUCACUUAAUUGUUAUAUUUGGAUUAAAUUAUCUGAUUUUAUACAUGUUUUAACUUAUGUGCUUCUUAACUUUUUAACUACUUUUAUUAUUAUUAUUAUUAUUAUUAUUAUUAUUAUUAUUAUUAUUAUUUAAAAAAAGAAGAAGAUUGCAACGAUGUUAAAACAUGCGUUGACCACAUCACAUAAAUACACCGAAGGAGAUAAAAUUAUUAAACUAACACGCCUAAAGUAAUUGCGCAAUUUCGAGCUUAUGAGGCCAUGAAAAUUUAACUAAAUGGCACGCCUCGAUUUCUAAGGAUUCAAAAUUAAUUAAAUGAGGGCCGUGAGCUUAAGGGUUUUAUUUGGCAUGGCACGCCUCCAAUCUAUUUUUAAGGAAAUUCAAAACUCAACUUUGAGGGCCAUAAACUAUGUCUUUUGGCUAAUAUAGCAUAUCUCAAACCAUUCUUAAAAAAUCGUAAUUGUGUCACGCGAACGUGUCUACAAUUAUAAUGAUAUAAUUAGUCACGCUUAACUUCUUUUCAACGAAUAAUCAUCUUGAACCCAAUCUAUUUAGAAACAUACAAAAGGAAUCCAAAGCCAUGACAAAGUUAAUCUUGUCACGCUUAACUUCUUUUCUACGAAUAAUCGUCUUGAACCCAAUCUAUUAGAAACAUACAAAAGGAAUUCAAAUCCAUGACAAAGUUAAGCUACUGUAAAUAAAAAUGGCCUAAUAGAUCCCAUAUCACUCUCAUUUUUAACAUAGAAAACCAAAAGAAAAUUUUAACAAUUUUAAAACCAAUUCCAUGCAUUCCAUGAGUUAAUGAAGCACGUAUUUGGAAGCUUAAAGGAACUUUCAAUUCGAUUAGCUCCUAUAUAACUAAAAUUCAUUCAAACAUAGCCUUAACUCAGAAACAAAGCUCAACUGGAACGUGACAUAAUACAAAUGAUGCAAAAUUGAGCAAAAUUUCAUAAACCCAUAACAAAGCACUUCAAACAAUAGUAUUAGCCAAAAUGAUUCAUCAAACAUGAAGGAUAAUACUUCUGAACACGACACAAAGUCAAAGGACUUACCGAAGUCGCAUACCCUCCCGGCGACAGAACCAGCACCGGAGACUUCGACGCGACAACCUCGAACGGGAACCUCUGGUCAAAGCUUCAAGCAACAAGCUUUAAAUCGAUAGAUCUCGACAUGAUCUCUGUUAACUAGGUUCGAGAUUUUUUUGUUCAGGAAAAAGAAGCUCGCUGUUUAGGGGUAAGUCCUGUGGGUGUUCUGGUUCAUUGUUUCUCGGUUGGAGCUCGUUAAUCUGGAGAGCUGUUGGAGCUCAUUUUUCCGAUGGGCUGCUGGAGGAGUAAGACGAAGAGAGCAACAGCUGGUCCUUUCGUGUUUAAACCUCUUUUUGGUCCUCGUGACUGGUUUCCCAGCGAGGUUCGUUUGAGUUGAAGUUGCAGAGAUGGUCUCUUUGUAUUCUCUGCGCAGCUGCGCUAAAAUUUUUCCAGGCGUUCCUUUUUCUUCGCUGUGUAUAUGUAUGCAUAUAGGAGUGUAUCUUCAAGAGAAGCCCCAGCCGCCAACCCUUCCCCCCAUUUCCAGGCCUCUCUUCUCUAUCGUGUUUUUUCUAUUGUGUGUACAUAUCCGUGUAUUAGGUUUUAGGUCGGCAAAAUGGGUUUGGGUUUCAGGCGGGUCGACCCGGUUUGGGUUGGGUAGGGGCUGAUUUGGG
rnacentral:lncRNA from 1 species